rnacentral:rRNA from 1 species
AGUGAACGCUGGCGGUAGGCCUAACACAUGCAAGUCGAACGGCAGCACAGUAAGAGCUUGCUCUUACGGGUGGCGAGUGGCGGACGGGUGAGGAAUACAUCGGAAUCUACUUUUUCGUGGGGGAUAACGUAGGGAAACUUACGCUAAUACCGCAUACGACCUACGGGUGAAAGCAGGGGAUCUUCGGACCUUGCGCGAUUGAAUGAGCCGAUGUCGGAUUAGCUAGUUGGCGGGGUAAAGGCCCACCAAGGCGACGAUCCGUAGCUGGUCUGAGAGGAUGAUCAGCCACACUGGAACUGAGACACGGUCCAGACUCCUACGGGAGGCAGCAGUGGGGAAUAUUGGACAAUGGGCGCAAGCCUGAUCCAGCCAUACCGCGUGAGUGAAGAAGGCCUUCGGGUUGUAAAGCCCUUUUGUUGGGAAAGAAAAGCAGCAGGUUAAUACCCCGCUGUUCUGACGGUACCCAAAGAAUAAGCACCGGCGAACUUCGU